rnacentral:rRNA from 1 species
AUACGGAGGGUGCAAGCGUUACUCGGAAUCACUGGGCGUAAAGCGCGCGCAGGCGGUCUUUUAAGUUGGAUGUGAAAGCCUACGGCUCAACCGUAGAACUGCAUCCAAAACUAUUAGACUAGAGUGUGGGAGAGGAAGAUGGAAUUAGUUGUGUAGGGGUAAAAUCCGUAGAGAUAACUAGGAAUACCAAAAGCGAAGGCAAUCUUCUGGAACACUACUGACGCUGAGGCGCGAAAGCGUGGGGAGCAAACAGGAUUGGAAACCCUGGAGUCC